GGUUUUUAGUUUUAUUUAAAGAUCGGUUCUGCUCAAUGAUUUUUUUCAAUAGCUGCGGUAGGUUGACUGUGCGAAGGUAGCAUAAUAGUUAGUUUAUUAAUUGUGAACUGGUAUGAAAGGGCUGAUGGGGGGCUUUCUGUCUGUUUUUAUAAAUUGAAUUUGACUUAUAUGUAAGAAGGCGUAUUUAUCUUUAAGGGACGAUAAGACCCUAUAGAAUUUUAAGUUUGAUUUAAGUUUGGAAAAGUUUAUAAUUUUCUUUUUAUAGUGGGUUUUUAGUUGGGGUGACUGGAAUAAGAGUUUAACUUUUUUUUUUGGUUUCAAGGUUGUUUGAUUGGUUGACUUGAUUAAGAGUUUAAGAUUAAAUUACCUUAGGGAUAACAGCAUUAUUUUUUUGGAGAGUUCUAAUCGAUAAGAGAGUUUGUGACCUCGAUGUUGAAUUAAGGUUUCUUAGGGGUGCAGUGUUUUUAUAAGUUAGUCUGUUCGACUAUUAAAAUCUUACA
rnacentral:rRNA from 1 species